UCGAGAGUACAUAGGAGUAGCGAGUAUUAUACAUAUCAAGUUGUAGCAGUUAUUAAAAACUUUGUUGUCAGAAUAAUUGAAGAAUGAUGAUAAGGAUUGGGAGCCUGAGAAGUUCGUAUAGUCUGAGUAUGGUUGGUAUUGGAAAGCGUGAGAGAGCUGAAGACGUCAAACGUAUAGAUCGUGUUGAAGACAAGUUGAAGAA
rnacentral:lncRNA from 1 species